CCCGUGCACGCGUUCGAUAGAAAAAAAAUACCCAUCCCCAAUUCGUGCGGCCGCGCACCCCACCGAUGGAUCCGCCGCUCCCCCCCGCCGCCGGCACGCCAUCAUCCGCCGCGCCGUCCUCCCCGCACCCUGGCCUGUCUCCUCUCCGCCGCGCCCUCCUCCCCGCGUCGUCCGAGUCCUCCAGGCGCGGUUCGCCGAAGGCGAGGCCCAGGCCGCCGCGCUCCUGGCCCGCGCCGGCCGGUUCGAGCGCACGCCGCCGACCGCGACCAGCUGCUCAUCACGCUCCUCUCCGCCGCGGGAAACGGCCGGGAGGAGGAGGACGCGCGGGAGGCGGGGCAGCGUCCGAUCCGGCCGAGGCUUACAGCGACACGGACGCGGAGGCUCUGGCCGCGGUCGCUGCGCUCCCUCCGUUCACUACCUUCCCGAUGGCUUUCUCUGUUCAAUUGCUUAAUUUGGUUGUCUUGUCUUACCUGAACUGCAAGGGAACCAACAUACAUGGCAUGAUGGAUGGAGAUCAAUAGAUGUUUUUUUGUUCUGUUCACAUGCUUUCUAAUAGUUUCCAUAGGAUUAUAGGCAUGAGCUUUGAACAAUAGGCAUAAAUCUGUUGUAAUCAAUCAAAGGCAGUGAAAACGUUUACUAAAAUCUUUAGAUGUGGGGAUCCUCUGAAUUGCUUUGAUUGAACGUCCAACGGGGAUCUCAUCUUAUAGUAACUCUGAAACAUUGUAUUGGUAGUUUUUAUCUUUACACUUUUGCCUUCUGUACAUACUGGAUUGCAUUGUUUAGGACAUGACACAGCGCUGCAAGCAGCUCAUGAGAGUAGUUUGCAAACGCAAAUCAUUGUAUAUGUCACUUAUGCUUCUCUUAAUAGAAAAUAGUACUAUUUUGGAGAAGGGCAUCUGGCUGACUUUCAAUAAAACUCUUCAGGUUUUGUUUGGUGAGAUUCUCUUUAGAAAACAAGAUUUGUAUUGGUGGUAGAUCGACAGCAACUGACAGCAUCUUCGUCAUCCGCGGUGGCAGUGCCGUCCGCGCGGAAUGCCUUCUGUGGCCGCGCCUCCGCCACCAACACCGCCACGCAGCCAAUGAUGUCGGCAUGUGGUGAAAAAAGGGCCCAAGUGAAAGGUCGACCAAGCUGUAAAAAUUCAGUGAGAGGAAUUUUUGUGCUCACAGCUCACACCAUGGCGUCCGUUGCCUCUGUUCUUACUUUAUUAUUUUGUUUUUCCCUUCGUCGAUUUUUCAUGUCGCCUGACAAGAACAAGAAUUGCAAAGAAGAAGUGAAAAGAAAACACAGAACAAAGGAUGAACGCCGGAGAGCACUCCUAUAUAAUUUCCCCCCAAAAUAUGAUGGGCAGUGGUGUGCUUGUUUGCAUUGAUCGCAUGGUGGCCAGCACUUCACCACACAUCUGACGGCGACUGUUUUAUCCAAGAGGUGGAGGAUAGGAGAAGCGCAUCUCUUAAAUUCACAGUUUUGAACCUAAAGAGACACAUCUAGAAAAUGAUUGCACGAGUGGUUCCAGUGUCAUGUACGUCAACAUGGUUGGAGAUUUGGGAUCGGAUGCUGCGCCAAGAGCGAGGGACCGAGGUGCUGAACUAACAGCAGGGGGGAGGGUGAUUCUUCAGUCCACCUAGGGAGCUGCACAAAUUUGGAACAACUUCCAGAACAGGCAUCCAAGCAUUUUGGUCUGCUACCAGUAAGCUGCCAGAGCAAGAUAGCUGGGAGUCUGGGAUGUCGAGUCGUCGAGCCGUCCAAUGCCAAGUUCGCCGGCGGAAGGAGAACAUCCGUCAAGCCGUCCGUCGCCUGAGGCGGCUACACCAGAGGUCCGUGGGUUACUACUCCUUUGCUCUUGCUGGCGACCGGCCUCCAGAGUAGCACUUGCUUGAGAUCUGAUCUAGAACUGAAUUGUGCCCUGCUUUGCUGUGGUCGUAUGCUCUGUGUCCACCGAUGAGUUUCAGAUACAGAAUAGGACCAAAAUUGGAGUAGGUUCAGUCGCGCAAAUGUUGUAUCACUUUGUCAUGGGUAUUGUGCUGCUAAAUUGCUUGUUGGAUUGUUCAAACUAAAGUCAUCCAGUCAGUUUGCUACAAUGUUCAUUUGUUUACUUCGGAAGUUCUUGGGCCUGAUCACUUUCGAAUUUGUCUAUGGUUUGAGAUUAAUCUUUCCGAGAUGUUAGAGAGUGGGUCCAAGGAUGGAUCUGCCCAUCAGUGUGCAGAGGAUCUUCUAAUUCCUGCAGCUAAUCUUGAUUCAUGGAUAUUGUGUUUGCUCUGUGGCGCAUUAUGUUUCAGUUUAUUUUUUCUGAAAAAUUGGCGCUACUUCUGAUUGCUCACAAUUUAAGUUUUGCUGAUAUACACUGGAGGCAUUAAACCAACAACUUUCUCUGUUUUUUAUGCGUGCUACUACAAAUACAAGGACACAUCUUACAAACACACGGCUUCCGCUGGCUUGGCUAGCUUUGUACGUCCACUUUGCGCUACAAGUCGCCUUUCUAUGCUGUCUUACAAUCUCGUAGUACAGACCGUGCUCCACCUGAGGUUGGAGCAUAAGAA